GCCAGGCAUGGUGGCGCAUGCCUGUAAUCCCAGCUACUUGGGAGGCCGAGGCAGGAGAAUCGCUUGAACCCAGGAGGUGGAGGUUGCAGUGAGCCGAGCUUGAACCCAGGAGGUGGAGGUUGCAGUGAGCCGAGAUCGCGCCACUGCACUCCAGCCUGGGUGACAGAGCAAGAUCUGUCUCAA
ensembl:misc_RNA Metazoa_SRP Metazoan signal recognition particle RNA